rnacentral:tRNA from 68 species
GCCCGCUUAGCUCAGAG